rnacentral:misc_RNA from 1 species
UUAUUUACCGAUGACCACCAGGAAUAGCAGAGACCAGGAAAUGACUCGCGUGUUUUGUAUCCGCGAGGGGAGACCUGGGAAGCAGCAAUUGCAGCCGUUUUCAAUGCUAGACCGUUGACCUGGACUGAGGCUAGUUCGAACUGCUCACUGCUUGGACCAAACAUUCAAACCGAGUUGACAACUGCCAAAAUUUCUACCCAGGGAGUCCACGUGAAGGGGUGGAUUGGCGCAUACAAAGGGAGUACGGCGUGGCUCAAUAUUAAAGGAUGCUACAGGGUCAAUACAAGUGAUCUUUACUCGGUCAGAAGAUCCCAGCUUCACAAGAAGUACCAGAUAGGGAGGUGUACGGAAGACUGUACUAACAGCACCAUCUACGGACUCUCGGAGGGUUUGUGCUUCUGUUUUACAUCUUUUCCCGCGCUUCUGUCAAAGUGUACAGCCAGACUGUGCAAUGGUUCAACAAGCGAUUUCUGUGGGGGGCCAGGGAAUAUUGGAUCCCAAUCAACCACAGACAUCAUGUUCUACACUCAAAACACUCAGAUAUCAUUACAAGAAUUUGGAGACGCUCAAUGUAUUCUGGGCCGACAGGGAAGUGGUGAAAACCUGAGGACGGCGUACACCUACCAGACCUCGCGGUGUCAGGAUCUCGUGGCCAGCUUCGUCUGCCUCUCCGGUACAUACGUGGAGGUCCUGUACACCGUGUCGAGCCGCGUGAACUGGACGGAGGCCGUGCUGUCCUGUAGUAAACCCGGCUACACCAUUGCUGACACCUACUCCUUCAAUAAAUUCCUAGAGGAAGAACGCCUGAUCCUAUUUUGGGUAGGAAUAUUCAGGAGGGAAUUCAUAAAAAUAGACACAGGUAGAUAUACAUGUAUGUGCAGAUUUUGACAAUAUAGGCCAUAUAUUUUCUCUGCCUUUCUUUGAUUGUGUCAGUAUUUCUCAUUUAUUCGUAAGAAGCUGAGUGGAUCAUCUCAUCGAUACAGUGGCCAUUGGCAAUCCUCUAGUCCUCUACCGUCUGUCUUUAAAACAACAAUUUCUUGUAAUCCUAUAUCUUUUUAUACUAGUACAUGAACAGUUUUCCUAUAGAACUCGGAAUAUUUACCAUAUUCCUGUUCAACCAUUUAUUGUUUACUCUGGUAUUUACAGCGAUCCCUUACAAUCCCCACGUAAGCACCCUGUGCACCGCUGCCAGCGUUCUACAAGAUGGAACCCUUCAGCUUUCGUAUGAAAACUGUACUCAGAAGCUACCAUCAUGGUGUGAAGUUUCCAAAAACCCAAUAACCACAAGACCCCACAAACCCGGAAGAGGCAAUCUCGUCACCAUUUUCAUGUCACUGGCAUUGCUUGGCACAAUAGCUGUGAUUGUUAUAGUUACGAUAUUUUUUCUCAGGAAACGAAUAGCAAGAGAAGUUUGCAAGGCCUGGAUUCACUCAAAGAAUUACAGCGCGCAUAAAAACAGCCUCACCGGAAGUAUAGGUCACACCAAAACCCCAACAGACGCGCCCCAGCAAAAUAAUGAUGAAUAUGACCACACUGUUUUAUCACCAAAUACGACGGACAGAGGACCGGGUUAUGCCUCAGUACACCUCGGCAAUUCUGGUCAGGAUCCAUCGUCCUCGCGGAUUAACUCGACAUACGAUCAUCUCAGCCGACAGUCUCCCCAGACACACGCUACAAGUAUCUACGAUCACUCCAGUUACAAACAGAACAUCGUUCAAACUGAUGACGUCAUUCAAACAGCAGACGAUUAUGACCAUAUAGACAGACGCGUUCAAAAAACAAAAGACAGUAAUGAUAUAUAUGACCAUAUGCAGAAAAACCAGGACUGAUAUAAUAAGUUCAGUAUCGUUGAGGCAGCCCGAAAUUUCUUAUACACUCUUUUAUAUCAAUUUUCCUGUCCUGCAUCAGAUCAUUUUAAAAUACAAUUGUUUCAAAUAUUGAAUCAUGGAAUCUGACAAACUAAUGAAAAAA